AAGGAGCACACGGCAGCUUCGGGCGAAUGUCCCGGAGUGCUAGCUCAUGGGUGGAACGUUGACUAUUCGGCACACAUGGUAGGACCUGCCAGUACUGCCCUCUUCUCGGGGGCGUGGAACGCGGUACCGCUGGGUGUGCCGGGCACGUUGUUGGGUCCUGAGGGAACGGUUUUUCCGUUGUCUCAUGGAUGCCGGCCUCAUGCGAGGCGCUCCCGUCAGGGUGUGCUGAGUUUGGGUGUCUGGUCGUUGUUUGAGAACUGCACAGUGGACGCGAGCAUCUGU
rnacentral:misc_RNA from 1 species